AUCAAAGAAGGAGGUACCUUUCUCUGAAGGGAGGAGAGAACUUCCAUUUUGACUAUGACCUUGUCUAAGUAAGAUCAGAGUUGGUGAACUCAAGAGGCUUCCAUAGCCUUGCCAGCUCAUGACAAGAGCCUUGGGUGAUUACUGAAGUCAUAAAUAAGAAUGUCAAUUGUUAAAUCAACAACGGCAGUCACUGUGCACCUACUCCCCAUGUAAGACCUCUGCCCUUAAUGUGUUGUGCUAUGCGAAUUAACGGUAAAACUACUACUCAAACAGUACUCUAUACUGUGUCUGUGUGGGUGCAGUUUGUUGAAAUCUUUACUUAGUAUAUAGUAACUUGAUCUUCUGUAUAUAAAGAUAAUUAAAAAUGAAUCUGGAUGAAGAAUGGGAUGGGAGAAGGAGUGGGAGAUGGGAUGGUUGUGAGUGGGAGAGAGGUUAUGGGAGGGGAAGAGCUGCUAUAAUACAAUAGUUGUACUUUGGAAAUUUAUAUUUAUUAAAUAAAAGUUGAAAAAAAUAAAAGGACUACAAAAGAUUAUUUUGUUGUACUGGAACAAUGGCAUAGUAUUCUAAGCCUCUGCUUGUGGUGCUGGCAUUCUACUAUACUGGCACCAGUUCUGGUCCUGGCUUCACCUCUUCUGCUCCUGCUCUCUGCUAUGGCCUGGGAAAGCAGAAGAUGGCCCAAAUGCUUGGGCCCCUGCACCUAUGUGGGAGAGCUGGAAGAAGCUCCUGGCUCUUGGAUUCAUAUUAGCCCAGAUCCAGCUAUUGUGGCCAUCUAGGGAGUGAACUAGUGAAUGGAAGACCUUUCUCUCCAUCUCUUCCUCUGUCUGUAACUCUACUUCUCAUAUUAAUAAAAAAAAAGAAAUUGUUUUGUUCUAAAUGCUUAUAGCCCCUGUGAAAAGUUGAAAAAAGUAUUAUAAUUCAAACUGUUUUGCUUAUGUCUUAUAUAUCAAAGCAAUGAGUUGUCUUUUCCUGGAAGAAGCUAUAGAAUCCUCCUCUAGAUCAAUGCAGCUAUUCCAAAGUGAUGGUUUUUCUACCUUGAGCAGCUUCCUAAUGAUUGAAGCUUCCUCACCUUCUGCAUUCUGGAUCAGAAGGAUUUGUAGGAGAAGAAACAAAGAGGGGCUUGCAUGUAAAGAGAACAAUUAAAGCGGCCAAAACAUUUAUGAUAGUAAGUGAUGAAAAAGAAAGUUGAAUAAUUACGGUAAGUCACAGAAUAAUUAUGGUGAGUCCCAGAAAAGCCACAACCAAACACAAGGGCUUGAACUUUAAAUAUUAGACAUAGGCAUUAUGUAUUGGGAAUGCUUAUGGAAAACUGGGUCCAAAGAACCUGAAGUCUGAGGCUGGGAACAACUGGGUCAGAGGUCAUUUUAGUUAUAAAUUUGAAAGACAGUGAUUUUUUUCUAUAUAACAAAAUGUAUUAAAAUAUUUUACCUGUUAAUUCCUCUUGAUAAAUAUGAUGGGAAUAAGUUUUUAAAAAGAGCAGUAAAGUAGAUUAGUUCACAUAUCUAUGAAUGAAAUCAUGUUUAACUUCAUCCUCUGCCAUUUUUCAAGUACUAUAGUGGCAGAGAUACUUGGGUAAAGACAGGUUAGAGUUACCAUUUAGCUAUAAGGUACAGUACCACGGAACAAUGAGUAUUAAAACCCACUCCCUCCAUUUGUUCUUUCAUCCUAUAUCUCCUCAGUACUAUGAACCAUAAAGUGAGCUGAUCUCACAGAAGAGUUGAAGAAAUGAAAUGAAAUGAAAUGGCAGAAUGGCUUAGAUAAACCAUUAUGAGAAAUGCAGUUUUUCAAAAUAUUGCAUCCCUUUGUACACAAACCAGAAGCCGGGUGAUAAGGGAGCCUUUGAGGAAGACUUGGAGGUCAGUAUCACAGGAAACCAAGAGCCGAUGAGGUGAGUAGCUCUGAGAGGCAAAGAAAGUGCCCAAAGUGGGCAAUGGUUGUGAGGGGGUUAA